rnacentral:piRNA from 1 species
ACUUGAUUUAGGGUAGAAUAUUGGA